rnacentral:lncRNA from 1 species
GUUGAUUUUAGCUGUUAUAUCAGUGUCGAUGUAUACAAUGUCAUGGUCACCAAUGCCUGGUAAUGGCUCGCAUCGAUUCACUAAUGAAGGCCGAUUUGUUAGAAAUAGGUCUAACGUGUGGUUUUUUCUUGUUGGAAAAGUGACUAUCUGUUCCAGGUGGUUGUCUUGUACUAGGUCGAGGAAAGUACUGUUUAUUCGUAUUGGAUUUUGAUGGUCCGUGAUAGAUUGUGUUUUCCAGCAUAUAUCGGGUAGAUUUAUAUCACCCCAAAGCCAAACAACUGAUGAUCUGUUUUUUCUUAUCAAGUUGUCUACUGUAAGUUUAAUUUUCUCCAUGUAGUUAAUGUCACUGCUAGGUGGUCUGUAAAUAC